AACGCUGGCGGCCUGCCUAAUACAUGCAAGUCGAACGUGAAAAGGGGCAACCCUUAGUAAAGUGGCGCACGGGUGAGUAACACGUAGGUAAUCUGCCUUUUAGUGGGGAAUAACACAGGGAAACCUGUGCUAAUGCCGCAUAAGUAAGCAAUUAGAAAGUGGGCGCCGCAAGGGCUCAUGCUGAAAGAAGAGCCUGCGGCCUAUUAGCUAGUUGGUGGGGUAAUGGCCUACCAAGGCAACGAUAGGUAUCCGGUCUGAGAGGAUGAUCGGACACACUGGAACUGAGACACGGUCCAGACUCCUACGGGAGGCAGCAGUAGGGAAUAUUGCGCAAUGGGGGAAACCCUGACGCAGCAACGCCGCGUGAGUGAGGAAGGUCUUCGGAUUGUAAAACUCUUUUAUUAGGGAAAAAUGUCCUUGUGGUUAAUACCCAUGAGGAGUGAUGGUACCUAAGGAAUAAGCACCGGCUAACUUCGUGCCAGCAGCCGCGGUAAUACGAAGGGUGCAAGCGU
rnacentral:rRNA from 1 species